rnacentral:rRNA from 1 species
GGUGCUUGCAUCAUGAUUUACAUUUGAGUGAGUGGCGAACUGGUGAGUAACACGUGGGAAACCUGCCCAGAAGCGGGGGAUAACACCUGGAAACAGAUGCUAAUACCGCAUAACAACUUGGACCGCAUGGUCCGAGUUUGAAAGAUGGCUUCGGCUAUCACUUUUGGAUGGUCCCGCGGCGUAUUAGCUAGAUGGUGAGGUAACGGCUCACCAUGGCAAUGAUACGUAGCCGACCUGAGAGGGUAAUCGGCCACAUUGGGACUGAGACACGGCCCAAACUCCUACGGGAGGCAGCAGUAGGGAAUCUUCCACAAUGGACGAAAGUCUGAUGGAGCAACGCCGCGUGAGUGAAGAAGGGUUUCGGCUCGUAAAACUCUGUUGUUAAAGAAGAACAUAUCUGAGAGUAACUGUUCAGGUAUUGACGGUAUUUAACCAGAAAGCCACGGCUAACUACGUGCCAGCAGCCGCGGUAAUACGUAGGUGGCAAGCGUUGUCCGGAUUUAUUGGGCGUAAAGCGAGCGCAGGCGGUUUUUUAAGUCUGAUGUGAAAGCCUUCGGCUCAACCGAAGAAGUGCAUCGGAAACUGGGAAACUUGAGUGCAGAAGAGGACAGUGGAACUCCAUGUGUAGCGGUGAAAUGCGUAGAUAUAUGGAAGAACACCAGUGGCGAAGGCGGCUGUCUGGUCUGUAACUGACGCUGAGGCUCGAAAGUAUGGGUAGCAAACAGGAUUAGAUACCCUGGUAGUCCAUACCGUAAACGAUGAAUGCUAAGUGUUGGAAGGUUUCCGCCCUUCAGUGCUGCAGCUAACGCAUUAAGCAUUCCGCCUGGGGAGUACGGCCGCAAGGCUGAAACUCAAAGGAAUUGACGGGGGCCCGCACAAGCGGUGGAGCAUGUGGUUUAAUUCGAAGCUACGCGAAGAACCUUACCAGGUCUUGACAUACUAUGCAAAUCUAAAAGAUUAGACGUUCCCUUCCGGGACAUGGAUACAAGUGGUGCAUGG